GUCCAGGAAAAUAUUUUGUCAUAUACAUGUAUACACAGUUUGUCUGACAUGUACUUUUCAGAACUAUCAAGGACGUGAAUGUGAUACAGGGUCUUUUCAGAAGGAAAUAGCAGUAAUUGGGUAUGUAAGAAUAAGGAAAUGACGUAUGAAUGCCAGUUAGACAACUAUGCACAUAAGUUCAAAUAAAGUGAAUGUACGGAAUUAUUGGUAACUGUACGGCC
rnacentral:lncRNA from 1 species